AAUGAACGCUGGCGGCGUGCCUUACACAUGCAAGUCGAGCGAGGCGCGGUAGCAAUACCGCAGUCGAGCGGCGAACGGGUGAGUAACACGUGGAUAACCUGCCCAGAGGUGGGGGAUAACCCGGGGAAACUCGGGCUAAUACCGCAUGAUACCGAAAGGUCAAAGGGGGCUCGCAAGGGCUCUCGCCAUUGGAGGGGUCCGCGUCCGAUUAGCUAGUUGGUAGGGUAAUGGCCUACCAAGGCGACGAUCGGUAGCCGGCCUGAGAGGGUGAUCGGCCACACUGGAACUGAGACACGGUCCAGACUCCUACGGGAGGCAGCAGUGGGGAAUUUUGCGCAAUGGGCUAACGCCUGACGCAGCAACGCCGCGUGGAGGAUGAAGGUCCUUGGAUUGUAAACUCCUGUCAGCAGGGAAAAAGCGACUCGGACUAAUAAUCCGGGGAGUUGAUUGUACCUGCAGAGGAAGCCCCGGCUAACUCUGUGCCAGCAGCCGCGGUAAUACAGAGGGGGCAAGCGUUAUUCGGAAUUAUUGGGCGUAAAGGGCGCGUAGGCGGCUUGGCAAGUGGAUGGUGAAAUCCCUCGGCUUAACCGAGGAACUGCCAUCCAGACUGCUUUGCUUGAGGCCGGGAGAGGUGAGUGGAAUUCCCAGUGUAGCGGUGAAAUGCGUAGAUAUUGGGAGGAACACCAGUGGCGAAGGCGGCUCACUGGACCGGUUCUGACGCUGAGGCGCGAAAGCGUGGGGAGCAAACGGGAUUAGAUACCCCGGUAGUCCACGCCGUAAACGAUGAGUGCUUGGUGUAGCGGGUAUCGACCCCUGCUGUGCCGAAGUCAACACAUUAAGCACUCCGCCUGGGGAGUACGGUCGCAAGGCUG
rnacentral:rRNA from 1 species